ACGGGAGGCAGCAGUGGGGAAUAUUGCACAAUGGGGGAAACCCUGAUGCAGCAACGCCGCGUGCGGGAAGACGGUCUUCGGAUUGUAAACCGCUUUUCUUAGUGAAGAAGAAGUGACGGUAGCUAAGGAAUAAGCAUCGGCUAACUACGUGCCAGCAGCCGCGGUAAUACGUAGGAUGCGAGCGUUGUCCAGAUUUACUGGGUGUAAAGGGAGCGCAGGCGGGACUGCAAGUUGGAUGUGAAAUGUCGAGGCUUAACCUCGGAACUGCAUCCAAAACUGUAGUUCUUGAGUGGAGUAGAGGCAAGCGGAAUUCCGAGUGUAGCGGUGAAAUGCGUAGAUAUUAGGAGGAACAUCGGUGGCGAAGGCGGCUUACUGGGCCUUUACUGACGCUGAGGCACGAAAGCGUGGGGAGCAAACAGGAUUAGAUACCCUGGUA
rnacentral:rRNA from 1 species